GGGACACCUGACUUCGGGAUCCAAGUGCAACACAGACGAACACACAGGCACAUCGGGAGCACCAGGAUGGUCAGGAACUUUGCAUGACCAAGGAGACUGCUGGAUUAAUGAAAUUGCACCAUCUUUUGAAAGGGCCUCAAGGAGAGUUCAGUCCUGAGUUAGCCUUGGCAUUAAAAAUAAAACUGUACUUCUGUUCAGACUCAUCCAUUGCAGUGAGAAUGAUCUGGGUGGGCUUCGAAUAUCAAAAGCCUCCAAGGGGAAUGGCUUAGAGGGUGAGCAAUCUGUGAUCUCACGUGACAAGCAGUCCAGAGCCAUGGACUCCAGUUCUUUACUUUUUUCUUCUCUGCUGUCCUUAGCCCUCAGGUUGAGGCCCUUCCUGGCAAAGCUGCCCUAGGCCCAGAUGUCACAUAUGCAUGACAACGUCCGGGGACCAUUUGCCCCAGCAGAUUCCCUUUCAUUUCUGAUUGGCCGGCAAGUGGCUGAGGAUCGUCUUACUCGCACCCUGGUGCUGGGCGCUGACCACCUCCCGAAGCACUUGGCCAGGGGGAGAGGAUGCUGGACACAAUCAGGUUCUCCUGGGGGGAGGAGGGAGGGAAUGGCUGCUGGAAGGGUUCUACCGGGGACUCCUACAGCAGCUUGUUAGAUCUCCUUCCUCCCAAUUCCCUGAAGUUGGUGGAACAGGAAGAGGACGAGAAGUCAUGUUUGUAUGUUGUCCCCUUGGAAUCUCUCAAAAAUCCGCAAUAUCCCGAUUUGAGAAAUGAGCAUCACAGAGAAAGCAAAGCGGUAGUUGGAAGCUGCCAAGCUUGUGAGCAACGAGACGGAAUCCACGCCCAGGGCUUUCUAACGGCGGGGCCACGCCCUCCACACUCCACCUCGGCCCUCUGCCCUGCGAUGGUGCAGAGACAGGGUGUGGUCAAGGGGCCUAGGGUGAGGGUCCUGCCAGUACUUUACAGGAAACUCCCCCUCUUUUAGCCUCAUUUGUCAAAGAAAGGGCUUAGACACUAAAAUCUUUUAAGUUUCCUUCUAGCUCAAUCUCUCUUUGAUUUAAUACCUUCUAAAAGAGAUUUGGGGCCCCAGAAAAAAAGAAAGCAAGAAAGCAACUGGCACUUCUGUGGUUGACUCAGCACAGAGGCCUGGACAGGCAUCAGGAGGCUGGGCUCCUCCUAUUUUGGGCCUCGUGAGUUCAUCCUGAGGCCUGUGCCAGUCCCUGCGGUUUCUCAUCUCUCCAUCCUGGUCUGUAUGACAAAAUGGCUAAAAAUACCGGGCUCCCCGCGGGCCCGCCACCCGGCUAACACCCUCCCUUGAAUCAGCUCAUUUUUUAGUCUUGGGUAUGCUGCAGAUGAGAGUCCAGGACAAGCCACCUUCGGAAGCUCUGACUCCCAGGAACCCCGCUUGGGUUGGUCCUUGUGCUCUGGUGGAAGAAGCUUGGGCGCUGUCCACUUCCUAGGCAGUGAAGGAAUUUUACCCAGUCUCCUGGAAUGAAGACUACGUUUCCCAGGCUCCCUUGCAGCUAGCUGCAGCGUCACUGCUAGGCCUGGUCCAUAAGAUCUGAAUGCCACAAAAUGCAUGGCACAGGGAAGGGUUUGACAACUUUUUGAUGGAUGAACAAAGAAGAUUCAAGCCACUUGUCAACAAGCUCAAAGUGAUUGAAAGUGGAAGCAUUUACCCACACGCUCAUGCAGAAAAUGACAGGAAAUCAUCCAGAGACACUUGUGACAGAGAUGAGAACUGUCACUGUUGAGAGGUGCUGCGGAGAUGGGUGUCCACGGAUGACCGUUCGGAGGCCGACUUCGGGGAUGUGGCCCCAUUAGCUCAAGAGUGGGUGACUCCCUACCACACUGAUGGCGUUGGCCAGGACAGGACAAGCCUACUGCAGUGACACAGUGUCACUGAUCCCUGAUGCCCACGUGGGUGUUUUACUUUAGCUAAUGCUGCAGAGAUAAUGCAGACAGAGAAAUGAGGCCCCAGCGCUGAGCAGCCCAAUCACCUGGUUGUAAGCAGCGAGUGUUUCUGGCUCUGCUCCUGGGCCCCAAACCACUGUGGGCUCACGAAGAAUCUUUCAGAGUUGGAGUCAGAAUGUCAGGGUUUGAGUGUAGUCUCCACCCCUUAAUGACCUUGCAUUGAUAAUUCUAUUCCCCGAGCCUCAUUUUACCCAUCUAUAAAAUGAGGACAAAUAGUUUAUUUCCUGGUUACUUCACUAAG
rnacentral:lncRNA from 1 species